CGUAGGGGCAAGCGUUGUCCGGAUUUAUUGGGCGUAAAGCGCUCGCAGGUGGUUCGUCGCGUCGUGCGUGAAAGACCCCGGCUCAACUGGGGAGGGUCGUGCGAUACGGGCGGACUGGAGGCCAGUAGGGGGAUGCGGAAUUCCGGGUGUAGUGGUGGAAUGCGUAGAGAUCCGGAGGAACACCAGCGGCGAAGGCGGCAUCCUGGACUGGUCCUGACACUCAGGAGCGAAAGCGUGGGGAGCGAUCCGGAUUAGAUACCCGGGUAGUCCACGCUGUAAACGAUGCGCACUAGGUGUCGGGGGUAUCGACCCCCUCGGUGCCGCAGCUAACGCGAUAAGUGCGCCGCCUGGGGACUACGGCCGCAAGGCUA
rnacentral:rRNA from 1 species